AGUGAACGCUGGCGGUAGGCCUAACACAUGCAAGUCGAACGGCAGCACAGUAAGAGCUUGCUCUUACGGGUGGCGAGUGGCGGACGGGUGAGGAAUACAUCGGAAUCUACUUUUUCGUGGGGUAUAACGUAGGGAAACUUACGCUAAUACCGCAUACGACCUACGGGUGAAAGCAGGGGAUCUUCGGACCUUGCGCGAUUGAAUGAGCCGAUGUCGGCUUAGCUAGUUGGCGGGGUAAAGGCCCACCAAGGCGACGAUCCGUAGCUGGUCUGAGAGGAUGAUCAGCCACACUGGAACUGAGACACGGUCCAGACUCCUACGGGAGGCAGCAGUGGGGAAUAUUGGACAAUGGGCGCAAGCCUGAUCCAGCCAUACCGCGUGGGUGAAGAAGGCCUUCGGGUUGUAAAGCCCUUUUGUUGGGAAAGAAAAGCAGCAGGUUAAUACCCCGCUGUUCUGACGGUACCCAAAGAAUAAGCACCGGCUAACUUCGUG
rnacentral:rRNA from 1 species